rnacentral:rRNA from 1 species
CAGCCGCCGCGGUAAAACGUAGGGUGCGAGCGUUAAUCGGAAUUACUGGGCGUAAAGCGUGCGCAGGCGGUUCGUUAAGACAGAUGUGAAAUCCCCGGGCUUAACCUGGGAACUGCAUUUGUGACUGGCGAGCUAGAGUAUGGCAGAGGGGGGUAGAAUUCCACGUGUAGCAGUGAAAUGCGUAGAGAUGUGGAGGAAUACCGAUGGCGAAGGCAGCCCCCUGGGCCAAUACUGACGCUCAUGCACGAAAGCGUGGGGAGCAAACAGGAUUAGAUACCCCCGUAGUCCCUGUCUCUUAUAC